GUAAAGUAAGUUAAUAAAACUGUUCGGCUCAUGUCCCAAAUACAGAGAUGAAAUUUCUCUCUUUACC
rnacentral:tRNA from 1 species